rnacentral:rRNA from 1 species
UACGAGGGGGGCAAAUGUUGUUCGGAAUCACUGGGCGUAAAGGGAGCGUAGGCGGGUUCUUAAGUUAGGUGUUUAAUCCCGGGGCCCAACCCCGGACCGGCACUUAAAACUGGGAAUCUUGAAUAGUGGAGAGGUCAGUGGAAUUGGGGGUGUAGCGGUGGAAUGCGUAGAGAUCCCCAAGAACACCAGUUGCGAAGGCGGCUGACUGGACACAUAUUGACGCUGAGGCUCGAAAGCAUGGGGAGCAACAGG